UCAUUUUCCAUCUGUGUGCACUGGAAGGCAUCGGGGUGCGACCGCUUCAGGACCAGUGAAAUAAUACAGGGCCCACAUCACACAGAAGGAACCUCGUGUCUCCACAGCGGAUCCAUCCACUAUUUGAGAGAAUAAAGAAAGCACGUUGCUGCCACCUGCUGGAGGACCCGGACUGAAAUAACUGGACACUGAUGAGCCUAACGGACAUACGACACCAAAAAUAUGGAAUACAUUUGGGUUAACGAUUUUCCAUUGUGGGCGACGGUGGAGAGAGGGUCCUGAGUCUGAGAAUUAGGAUGCAGCUCCUGUCGUCGGGCGCUGAGGAACUGUCUACUGCUAUCCCAGCAGCCCCUGGGCCAGUGACAGGGAGAUGGAUGGUAUCUGCAUCCUGGCUGCAAUGCUCCCCCAUCACCAGAGUCUGGCUCCGUGCAGACGCACACACGCACACACACACACACACACACACUCAUAAACAAACACGCACAGGAUACACACGUACACACAGAACAAAGGAUGCAAACACACACACAGGGCCGCGCAUAGACACACACUGGCUAACACUUUAUACACUAAAACCCUCAGAAUGUGGGCUAUUUGUCUAAUACACCUUCACCUGCAUUUGGCAACAAUACGCAUUCAUAGAAACUGCAGUACAAUGGUUUCAUAAAAACGACAAAAUAUUGAGACAAAAUGUGAAUUGCAAAAUGUAAUCCUUUUAUUGAUGAAACAUGACAUUACAGCAACAAUUGAUAACAUUAACAGAACAUUUUCGAAACAGACAUAUGUAUAUAGAAUAAGCAUAUUGAUUUAAAUAUGAUAGCCGUCGUGUGAAAAUGUUACCUUACAUUUACCGGCAUUAUGGUCAACAUUUGAAUAAACAAGAAUAUAAAAAGAACUGGUUUGGUGAAUACUGCAUAGAUGCCUAUGUUCAUGACCAAUGUUUAUUUAUUUUCCGAGGUGUCUAGGUUGCGUAUUUUUUUUUCUUCCCUUUCUUUCUGAAAGCCUAAAUAAUGCAUGCGGGAGGCCCUGCAGGUCCUGGACAGUGCAGGGGUGUGAUGGGGGUCACUGUGGACCUCUGCCCCCAAAAGCCCUUUUUUUUCCC